CACUCAUCAUGCCAUGAAGCCUCUGGGAUCAGACAGACCUGGCUUCUAAACUCCUCUGCUUCCUGGCUGAGUGACCUUGGGGAAAUUACAGUGUUCCAAGUCGUGGUUUUAUCCCCAGCAAAUGGUCGCUGACCCCCAGGAGAGAGACGACCACAUGGGCAGAGGAGCAUGAGCAUGGUCUGAAGGGAUUGGAAUGAAAACGGACCUUUUCCAGUCCUGUGGCCACUGCUGAGUUUUCCAGAUGUGCUGGCAUAUUUUCUGCAGCACUUUCACAGCAUCACCUUUCAGGAUUUGAAAUAGCUCAACUGGAAUUCCAUCACCUCCACUAGCUUUGUUCAUAGUGAUGCUUCCUAAGGCCCACCUGACUUCACAUUCCAGGAUGUCCGGCUCUAGGGUCCUUCUGGCUGACUUUGAGAAGGACAAAUGGGCAGCUGCUCCCAGAAGCAGCUGACGAUCAAGACAAACUUGGAGCCAAUAAGCUCUACCGUAGCUGAGAUUCACAUGGAGAUGCGUGAGGCUUUUCCCGCACCAGCCCUGCUAUUUAUUGCUUUCCGGUGUAAUUCAAGCCUUGAUCUGGUGCAAAGCUGAGCUGAAAAGCUGGAAAACAGAAAGCUGAAAAGCUAAGACUUUUGGUCCUCAGGACUAGACCCCUGACCUUAACUUAUGACAACCAAGUGUUAAUGUACCUGUUGUGACUAAAACAUCAAAGGCCAAUAUGACACACGAAAAGGAAAUGUGGCUUAUUGAAAAGUUGAGUUUAAGACCGAUUAUUUACUUUGUGUAUCAUUAAAGCAGGGGCACUUUCUUGAGAACUGUCCACUUGAUCACUUUUAAAUUAUAGCACAGUAACUUAAGUGAUCCUGUUUCCUGUGACUGCUUCUUGAAUCUACUGGGACUCCAGGGGCCUUUAUAGAUUUUGUGAACUAUGCUCUAUCAUUUAUUGAUGGUUUCCUCAUGUGAUAGAUGUUUUACAUUUAUUAUUUAAUACAUCAACCCCACAGAUAGGUGAUAUCAUUCCCGUUUUUAAAGAUGGUGGAACUAUGGCUCAGAGAAGUUGAUUAACUUUCUCAUGGUAUCACAGCUAAUCAACGGGCUCUGAACUUAGGCUGAUGAAGGCUACCAUUAUACUUUAGUUGUAAUGGACUGUACAAGCAGCCCUUCAGCUUCAGUUUACUGAAACAAGUAAAGGUCUGCUGAGGAAUACGUUUAUCUUUCCAUUCAGAAGGUCCACUGGGCACUGAUGACUUGUGAUUAUUCUGAAGGAAAGCUUUCUCUGAAAAAAAAAAAAAAGUGUUUGGGGAAAUGGCAGGAGAUGGACUGGAUAAGCACCGUUGCUUCAGGCCUUACUUAAAUUACACUCCAGCAACUGUUGCAAUGGCCCGUGUAAUAACCUGGCAACACAGGAAUCUCUGUCAAUGACAGAGGUACAGAAGAGUUCCAACGGAACAUUCCCAUAGCCGAUGAGGUGGACUACUGUCGGGCUGAUUGCCUGCUUCUAAUGAAAUGGGUCAUGUGACUUUGCUAAAGCAACAUCUAAUCUAGUAACAAUAUUUUAAAAGUGCUUUUAAUAAAUUUUCUGUUCACCUUAGUUUCAUGCAUAUAUUUUCUUGGGAAGAAAAAAAAUUCCCUAUACAUCCCUAUUUAACGUCACCAAUUCUGACAAAGAUACAUUAUAAUGAAUCAUGGAAAUUUCUUGUAUGAUCUCAUGUUCUACAUAAAAACAGCUCAG